rnacentral:rRNA from 12 species
UGGAAUAAUCAGCGGGGAAAGAAGCCCUGUUGAGCUUGACUCUAGUCUGUUGCGCGGGACGACUUGAGAGGUGUAGAAUAAGUGGGAGAGCAAUCGCCAGUGAAAUACCACUACUUUCAACGUCGUCCCACUUACCCGGUGAAGCGGAGUGGGCCUCGGCCCUCUUCUGGACUUAAGCUUCGGCGAUCCGCGUCGGGGACACACACAGGUGGGGAGUUUGGCUGGGGCGACACAUCUGUUAAACAAUAACA